UAAUCGCUGUUGUUAGUCGCAAGCCGACUCUUCUCGGCCGCUCGGCUUUAUUUUAUUGUUGUAUUAAGUUAACGAGCUUUCGCCCGUCCUAGAGCUGGGUCGGCCACUCACGAUAGUAUCGAUAUAUCGAAUAUUUGGGUUUGCGAACCACUAUCGAUGUUUGAGUGCCGAUAGUAAACGAUAGUGGCAAGCUUGCACAUCUUUACUUUUGGCGAACAACUGCGGAGAUCUACACGUGAAAGUUAAUAUUGGUGUUGGCGGAGAAAAUGGACAAAUUUUUGCAAGGCGAAUACGAUACGUUGUUACGUUGAUACGUUGUUAAAAAUAUUUCUACUUUGGGGAGGACAAACCGGGUCGAUGCCAUUGUUGAACUUCAACAGUACAUGCGAGCGGCACAUUCACCUCAGCAAACAGAUCCUUUAAAGUUUUGGAAGGGCGCUCCAGAUGAUUCUCUUCUUAAAACUACAGCUGAACGCCUUUUUUGUGUGCAAGCAUCAUCGACUGAGUCUGAGAGGAGUUUUAGUAAAACGGGACAAAUUAUUUCUGCUAGGAGAGCAUCACUAAAGGCCAAAAACGUGGAUAUAUUAUCCUUUCUCAAUAAAAAUAUGUGGAUCUCAAACUAUUCAAUCAAUGAAUAGUUAGCUAGUUACACUGAAGACUAAUACUGUAACAUGAGUUCAAUGCUAUAGCCUCAACGGUUAGUAUUUUCUGUUCUAAGUUAUACCUGCUAAAACCUUAGACUAGGUUAUAGCAUGUGUAACUCAAAACAGAAGAUACAAACCGUUGAGGCUAUAGCAUUGAACUCAUAUUACAAUAUUAGUCGUCAGUGUACAAAUUUAGAAUAUAUUAACCUAUUCAUAAGAAUCUUUUGUGAAUUAUUUCAUUUCUUCCUUUGUUAUAAGCGACUUCAUAUGAUUAUGAGAUUUUGUUAUGUUUUGUUAUUCGAAUAAAGAAUGGCCUUUAA